UCUGUGAAAAAAGAGGAUAUUUUUCUUCUUCAGUAUGGCUGUACUCUACCAGUAUGAGACAGGAGCCGCAGGCAGCGAGGUAGGUAUGUCGUCGAAUAUAUUUAUUGAGGAAAAUAAAUGUUUAAAACCAGCUGAUCACAGAGGAAACGGGGAUAAAGGCAACAUACUAUUCAAAUAAAAGUACCUCAUAAAUAAAAUCAAAGACACAUUAUGGAAGCUAAUAUUCAAUAUACAUUAUAACUUAAUUAAUUUAAAGGUUACAGAUGUAUUUGGACAAGCUAUGGCUAGUACGUUGUGGUUCUACUGUGGAGGUUCUACUGUAUUAUAGUCAGAGUGGAGGUUCUACUGUAGUCUCAGAGUGGAGGUUCUACUGUAGUCAGAGUGGAGGUUCUACUGUAGUCUCAGAGUGGAGGUUCUACUGUAGUCAGAGUGGAGGUUCUACUGUAGUCUCAGAGUGGAGGUUCUACUGUAGUCAGAGUGGAGGUUCUACUGUAGUCUCAGAGUGGAGGUUCUACUGUAGUCAGAGUGGAGGUUCUAUUGUAGUCUCAGAGUGGAUGUUCUACUGUAGUCUCAGAGUGGAGGUUCUACUGUAGUCUCAGAGAGGAGGUUCUGCUGUAGUCUCAGAGUGGAGGUUCUACUGUAGUCUCAGAGAGGAGGUUCUACUGUAGUCUCAGAGAGGAGGUUCUACUGUAGUGCAGUCAGAGAGGAGGUUCUACUGUAGUCUCAGAGAGGAGGUUCUACUGUAGUGUACUCAGAGUGGAGGUUCUGCUGGUCCCUGUCCCUCCUGGUCUCUGUCCCUCCUGGUCUCUGUCCCUCCUGGUCUCUGUCCAUCCUGGUCUCUGUCCCUCCUGGUCCCUGUCCCUCCUCCUGGUCCCUCCUGGUCCCUCCUGGUCUCUGUCCCUCCUGGUCCCUCCUGGUCUCUGUCCCUCCUGGUCCCUGUCCCUCCUGGUCUCUGUCCCUCCUGGUCUGUCC
ensembl:lncRNA